AUUGAACGCUGGCGGAAUGCUUUACACAUGCAAGUCGGGCGGCAGCGCGGGGCAACCCUGGCGGCGAGCGGCGGACGGGUGAGUAACGCGUGGGAACGUGCCUCUUGCUACGGAAUAGCCUCGGGAAACUGGGAGUAAUACCGUAUGUGCCCUACGGGGAAAGAUUUAUCGGCAAGAGAUCGGCCCGCGUUGGAUUAGGUAGUUGGUGGGGUAAUGGCCUACCAAGCCGACGAUCCAUAGCUGGUUUGAGAGGAUGAUCAGCCACACUGGGACUGAGACACGGCCCAGACUCCUACGGGAGGCAGCAGUGGGGAAUCUUAGACAAUGGGCGCAAGCCUGAUCUAGCCAUGCCGCGUGAGCGAUGAAGGCCUUAGGGUUGUAAAGCUCUUUUCAGUGGGGAAGAUAAUGACUGUACCCACAGAAGAAGCCCCGGCUAACUCCGUGCCAGCAGCCGUGGUAAUUGACGUCAGA
rnacentral:rRNA from 1 species